AAACUUUCAACAACGGAUCUCUAGGCUCUUGCAUCGAUGAAGAACGCAGUGAAAUGCGAUACGUAAUGUGAAUUGCAGAAUCUCGUGAAUCAUUGAAUCUUUGAACGCACAUUGCGCCCUGUGGUAUUCCACAGGGCAUGCCUGUCUGAGCGUCAGCU
rnacentral:rRNA from 1 species